UCACUCAUCUCUUCUCACAGCCACAGCUGCAGCGAUACCAGCUGGAGCUAAAUUAUUGUCUAGUUGUGGUUGUUUUUUAUUGUGUCUCUGUAGCCGAGGGUUUUAACAGUGUCUCUGUAUCCGAGGGUUUUAACGGUGUCUCUGUAUCCGAGGGUUUUAACAGUGUCUCUGUAUCCGAGGGUUUUAACAGUGUCUCUGUAUCCGAGGGUUUUAACAGUGUCUCUGUAUCCGAGGGUUUUAACAGUGUCUCUGUAUCCGAGGGUUUUAACAGUGUCUCUGUAUCCGAGGGUUUUAACAGUGUCUCUGUAGCCGAGGGUUUUAACAGUGUCUCUGUAUCCGAGGGUUUGCACUGUGCUCUCUCUCCACAGGCUCUCCACACUAGGCUGACCCGAAGGCUGCAGUGUGACGCCGCAGACGCAGCCGUGUGACGCCGCAGACGCAACUUCCGGGUAGCCGGCUUGGUUUGGUUUGUUUGGUUUGGUUAGCAGGACGCUUAGCGUCGACCUGCUAUCUCGUUGUAGCGUGCUGCGGGUGCUGGACUGGAUGCCUGGACUCUCCUCAUGGAUAACCGGCCAGAACCCCAUCACCAUUUUAAUAUGAUGUGCAUGUAUUUACCUGUAUGUCAAUUGUGGCACCCAUUGCACUCCUGACCAUCCCUGGAAGAAGGGAUCCCCUACACUGCGUUUCUUCUCAAGAUUUCUUCCUUGCUGAUUCAAGGGAGUUUUUUCUUGCCCGUGUGGGGGCAUGGGUAAAGGGGGGUGUCACAAAUAUUUGGCCUGUUAAGCCCUUUGAGACUGUAAUGGUGAUUAAGGGCUAUACAAAUAAAAUUGAAUUGAAUUGAAUUGCAA